CCUACGGGAGGCAGCAGUGAGGAAUAUUGGUCAAUGGCCGGAAGGCUGAACCAGCCAUGCCGCGUGAAGGUCAGUGCCCUAUGGGCGUUAAACUUCUUUUGUGCGGGAGCAAUAAUGGUCACGUGUGGCCAGACGAGAGUACCGUACGAAUAAGCAUCGGCUAACUCCGUGCCAGCAGCCGCGGUAAUACGGGGGAUGCAAGCGUUAUCCGGAUUUAUUGGGUUUAAAGGGUGCGUAGGCUGUGAGGUAAGUCAGCGGUGAAAUGCCCCCGCUCAACCAUAGAAUUGCCGUUGAAACUGGGAGGCUUGAGUAUGUUUGAGGCAGGCGGAAUGCGUGGUGUAGCGGUGAAAUGCUUAGAUAUCACGCAGAACCCCGAUUGCGAAGGCAGCCUGCCAAGCCAUGACUGACGCUGAUGCACGAAAGCGUGGGGAUCAAACAGGAUUAGAUACCCUAGUAGUC
rnacentral:rRNA from 1 species